rnacentral:rRNA from 1 species
UACAGAGGUCUCAAGCGUUGUUCGGAUUCAUUGGGCGUAAAGGGUGUGUAGGUGGCGCCGUAAGUCGGGUGUGAAAUUUCGGAGCUUAACUCCGAAACUGCAUUCGAUACUGCGGUGCUUGAGGACUGGAGAGGAGACUGGAAUUCAUGGUGUAGCAGUGAAAUGCGCAGAUAUCAGGAGGAACACCGGUGGCGAAGGCGGUGGUCUGGGCCGGCACUGACGCUGAGGAGCGAAAGCGUGGGGAGCAAACAGG